rnacentral:lncRNA from 1 species
UAUGGCAGCGCCCACAAGGCGCGAUUUUGUUUACAGGAGAGUUUGUUUACACUGACCGUCCCGGACUCUCGUGAUAUGACUGUGUGCUGGUUUUCCGUGAUAGUCGUCCAUUCUAUCCUAACUAAUCAACGUCUCCACCCCAUGUUUAAGGUUUACUCUUGAAAGAACUGCUGUCAGACGUAGAACUUCGUCUCGCAGUAGUAUCACCAUGCCGUACGUGUGCGCUGCCUACUGCUGUACGAGCACCCGGUGGCCGAGACGAUGUCCUCUUUCACAAGUUUCCACGUGAGAAAAAACAAGCUGCUCAGUGGAUCGCUGCUCUGAAGCGAAGUGAUUUCAAGCUUUCGAGAACCACUGUUCUAUGCUCGAAACAUUUCCGUGACAGUGACUACCAUCGGAGUUUAUCGCUAAUGCGUGUGAUGGGAAUUCCGGUGAAAUCUGCUCGACUGAAGCCAGGUGUGGUGCCGUCUGUCUUCGUUUACGAACGGAAUGAACCGCAGGCACCGAGAGCAGCACUCUCGAAGAGACGAAAACGUGAGGAUGCCAUUGCAGCAGAGCCAGAACAUGAGACAGCACCAGGUCUGGAUUGUAAGCCGGGCCAUGUUGCAGAUAAAUCUGUUCAAGUGCGACUACUAACCCGCCACAAAGCAUCACAAGCGGAUGAAAAGAAAAUUCUGUCAACAAGUGUCGGGACAAGUUGUAGAAACAUCACCAUAGCCAGUGUGUGAGCCGGGCCAUGUCACAAGUGCUACACAGAGCCUCAUGCUGUUUCUUCAGAAUAUUCCAGCAAUAUUUAGACACCCAUCAGCUACCUGCCGUCUGGAAGGUCUAAAAGGUGGUCUCACUUCACAAGUUCGGCAGCAGAAAUUCACCUCUCAACUGCCGCCCCAUCUCGCUCACCAGCAAUCCCUGUAAGGUUCUUGAGCAUAUUUUGUACUCGAACUUAGCAAAGCACCUAAACAAUAAUUCAUCUUUGACGAAAGCACAACAUGGUUUACGAAUAAACUUGUCUUGCGAAACACAACUUCUUUCUUUUACUCACAGCCCCCAUCUUAUUCUUCACAAAGGUUCCUUUGCUGACUGUGUCUUUUUUUACUUUGCCAAGGCUUUCGAUAAAGUGUGUCAUCAACUAAUUCUAUUUAAACUUAGUAAGAUUAGUCUUGACCCUAACCUGUUCGCAUGGUUUGAAGAUUUCCUCCUUAAUCGGUCACAGUACGUUGCAUCAAAUAGCCAUACAUCUCCAUUUGACCCUUUAAACUGUGGCGUGCCACAAGAAUAAGUUUUAGGCCCUCUUCUUUUCCUCAUCUCAAUUAAUGACUUACCAAACGAUGUUUCUUCUAACAUUUACCUUUUUGCAGAUGACUGCGUUAUCCUACGUGAAAUCUCAGAUAACAAUGAUAACAAGUCGCUACAAGAGGAUAUUAACACUACCGCUAACUGGUGUGACGUAUGGUUAACGCAACUUGACAUGACUAAAUGUAAAACAAUGCGUGUAACUCGUAGCAAUAUUACUCCACCAAACUAUUACCUUAAUGAUAUUCCCCUAGGAGCCAUAACAUCCUGCAAGCACCUUGGCGUCUACAUAACCUCCACACUUUCCUGGUCAUUACACAUCAAUAAGCUAAUUAGCAAUACUAACCGCAUACCAGGUUAUAUUCAGCGAAAUGUCUCUACUGGUCCUUCCUCGUUAAAGUUAAUCUUAUAUAAAACACUUGUUGGGAGUAAAAUGGAGUAUGCCUCAUCCAUAUGGGGCCUGCAUUCCGCAACACAUAUUCAAUCGCUUGAAUUAAUCCAAAAUGAUUCUGCGCUUUUCAUUUAUAGCAAUUAUAGCCGAACAUCAAGCGUAACUUCUGGGAAAAACUCCUUGCUACUUUGUCCCCUUUCAUCCCGACGUAAGUGUUCCCGCCUUGCUUUAUUCCAUAACCUAUAUUUCCACAAUUCCUACCUGCGUGAUAACCUCACAUCAUCCCCUUCUUACAUUUCAUCUCGCAUUGAUCAUAUCCAUAAGGUUGGAAUCAUGCACUGCCAUACCAGAAGCUGUCAUGAAUCAUUUAUUCCCAGGACCUCUCAGGAAUCGAACCACCUUCCCGGCGUGGU